rnacentral:rRNA from 1 species
GACGAACGCUGGCGGCGUGCUUAACACAUGCAAGUCGAACGGAAAGGCCCUGCUUUUGUGGGGUGCUCGAGUGGCGAACGGGUGAGUAACACGUGAGUAACCUGCCCUUGACUUUGGGAUAACUUCAGGAAACUGGGGCUAAUACCGGAUAGGAGCUCCUGCUGCAUGGUGGGGGUUGGAAAGUUUCGGCGGUUGGGUAUGGACUCGCGGGUUAUCAGCUUGUUGGUGGGGUAGUGGCUUACCAAGGCUUUGACGGGUAGCCGGCCUGAGAGGGUGACCGGCCACAUUGGGACUGAGAUACGGCCCAGACUCCUACGGGAGGCAGCAGUGGGGAAUAUUGCACAAUGGGCGGAAGCCUGAUGCAGCAACGCCGCGUGCGGGAUGACGGCCUUCGGGUUGUAAACCGCUUUCGCCUGUGACGAAGCGUGAGUGACGGUAAUGGGUAAAGAAGCACCGGCUAACUACGUG